UUAAGUUAUUAAGGGCGCACGGUGGAUGCCUUGGCACUAGAAGCCGAUGAAGGACGUUACUAACGACGAUAUGCUUUGGGGAGCUGUAAGUAAGCUUUGAUCCAGAGAUUUCCGAAUGGGGAAACCCAGCAUGAGUUAUGUCAUGUUAUCGAUAUGUGAAUACAUAGCAUAUCAGAAGGCACACCCGGAGAACUGAAACAUCUUAGUACCCGGAGGAAGAGAAAGAAAAUUCGAUUCCCUUAGUAGCGGCGAGCGAAACGGGAAGAGCCCAAACCAACAAGCUUGCUUGUUGGGGUUGUAGGACACUCUAUACGGAGUUACAAAGGACGACAUUAGACGAAUCAUCUGGAAAGAUGAAUCAAAGAAGGUAAUAAUCCUGUAGUCGAAAAUGUUGUCUCUCUUGAGUGGAUCCUGAGUACGACGGAGCACGUGAAAUUCCGUCGGAAUCUGGGAGGACCAUCUCCUAAGGCUAAAUACUCUCUAGUGACCGAUAGUGAACCAGUACCGUGAGGGAAAGGUGAAAAGCACCCCGGAAGGGGAGUGAAAUAGAACCUGAAACCGUGUGCUUACAAGUAGUCAGAGCCCGUUAAUGGGUGAUGGCGUGCCUUUUGUAGAAUGAACCGGCGAGUUACGAUUUGAUGCAAGGUUAAGCAGUAAAUGUGGAGCCGUAGCGAAAGCGAGUCUGAAUAGGGCGUUUAGUAUUUGGUCGUAGACCCGAAACCAGGUGAUCUACCCUUGGUCAGGUUGAAGUUCAGGUAACACUGAAUGGAGGACCGAACCGACUUACGUUGAAAAGUGAGCGGAUGAACUGAGGGUAGCGGAGAAAUUCCAAUCGAACCUGGAGAUAGCUGGUUCUCUCCGAAAUAGCUUUAGGGCUAGCCUCAAGUGAUGAUUAUUGGAGGUAGAGCACUGUUUGGACGAGGGGCCCCUCUCGGGUUACCGAAUUCAGACAAACUCCGAAUGCCAAUUAAUUUAACUUGGGAGUCAGAACAUGGGUGAUAAGGUCCGUGUUCGAAAGGGAAACAGCCCAGACCACCAGCUAAGGUCCCAAAAUAUAUGUUAAGUGGAAAAGGAUGUGGCGUUGCCCAGACAACUAGGAUGUUGGCUUAGAAGCAGCCAUCAUUUAAAGAGUGCGUAAUAGCUCACUAGUCGAGUGACACUGCGCCGAAAAUGUACCGGGGCUAAACAUAUUACCGAAGCUGUGGAUUGUCCUUUGGACAAUGGUAGGAGAGCGUUCUAAGGGCGUUGAAGCAUGAUCGUAAGGACAUGUGGAGCGCUUAGAAGUGAGAAUGCCGGUGUGAGUAGCGAAAGACGGGUGAGAAUCCCGUCCACCGAUUGACUAAGGUUUCCAGAGGAAGGCUCGUCCGCUCUGGGUUAGUCGGGUCCUAAGCUGAGGCCGACAGGCGUAGGCGAUGGAUAACAGGUUGAUAUUCCUGUACCACCUAUAAUCGUUUUAAUCGAUGGGGGGACGCAGUAGGAUAGGCGAAGCGUGCGAUUGGAUUGCACGUCUAAGCAGUAAGGCUGAGUAUUAGGCAAAUCCGGUACUCGUUAAGGCUGAGCUGUGAUGGGGAGAAGACAUUGAGUCUUCGAGUCGUUGAUUUCACACUGCCGAGAAAAGCCUCUAGAUAGAAAAUAGGUGCCCGUACCGCAAACCGACACAGGUAGUCAAGAUGAGAAUUCUAAGGUGAGCGAGCGAACUCUCGUUAAGGAACUCGGCAAAAUGACCCCGUAACUUCGGGAGAAGGGGUGCUCUUUAGGGUUAACGCCCAGAAGAGCCGCAGUGAAUAGGCCCAAGCGACUGUUUAUCAAAAACACAGGUCUCUGCUAAACCGUAAGGUGAUGUAUAGGGGCUGACGCCUGCCCGGUGCUGGAAGGUUAAGAGGAGUGGUUAGCUUCUGCGAAGCUACGAAUCGAAGCCCCAGUAAACGGCGGCCGUAACUAUAACGGUCCUAAGGUAGCGAAAUUCCUUGUCGGGUAAGUUCCGACCCGCACGAAAGGCGUAACGAUUUGGGCACUGUCUCAACGAGAGACUCGGUGAAAUCAUAGUACCUGUGAAGAUGCAGGUUACCCGCGACAGGACGGAAAGACCCCGUGGAGCUUUACUGUAGCCUGAUAUUGAAAUUCGGCACAGCUUGUACAGGAUAGGUAGGAGCCUUUGAAACGUGAGCGCUAGCUUACGUGGAGGCGCUGGUGGGAUACUACCCUAGCUGUGUUGGCUUUCUAACCCGCACCACUUAUCGUGGUGGGAGACAGUGUCAGGCGGGCAGUUUGACUGGGGCGGUCGCCUCCUAAAAGGUAACGGAGGCGCUCAAAGGUUCCCUCAGAAUGGUUGGAAAUCAUUCAUAGAGUGUAAAGGCAUAAGGGAGCUUGACUGCGAGACCUACAAGUCGAGCAGGGUCGAAAGACGGACUUAGUGAUCCGGUGGUUCCGCAUGGAAGGGCCAUCGCUCAACGGAUAAAAGCUACCCCGGGGAUAACAGGCUUAUCUCCCCCAAGAGUUCACAUCGACGGGGAGGUUUGGCACCUCGAUGUCGGCUCAUCGCAUCCUGGGGCUGUAGUCGGUCCCAAGGGUUGGGCUGUUCGCCCAUUAAAGCGGUACGCGAGCUGGGUUCAGAACGUCGUGAGACAGUUCGGUCCCUAUCCGUCGUGGGCGUAGGAAAUUUGAGAGGAGCUGUCCUUAGUACGAGAGGACCGGGAUGGACAUACCUCUGGUGUACCAGUUGUCGUGCCAACGGCAUAGCUGGGUAGCUAUGUAUGGACGGGAUAAGUGCUGAAAGCAUCUAAGCAUGAAGCCCCCCUCAAGAUGAGAUUUCCCAACUUCGGUUAUAAGAUCCCUCAAAGAUGAUGAGGUUAAUAGGUUCGAGGUGGAAGCAUGGUGACAUGUGGAGCUGACGAAUACUAAUCGAUCGAAGACUUAAUCAA
rnacentral:rRNA from 1 species